AUUUUUUCAUUAGUAUGUUCUAUGGUGUUGUCAUAGCCAAGGAUGUUAUCCCUUUGUGAGAUCUUCCAUCUUGACAUAGUCAUAUUAGUACUUCAGUGGUUCUUGAUCCAUUUUGAUGCAAUCUUUGGAAUUGGUGGUUUAGGAAACAUAAGAAGCCUAGAAAAAAGUAGUCCGAUCAAACCCUAACCUAAAAAGGCAAACAAGAGACAGAAUAGAGGAGGAAAAAAGGCAUGGAGAUCUCCUUAGAAAUCACUAAAAUGAGAUGGAAGAGGGUGUCUCCAUCCACAUUAUUUAUAUAGUCGAUGUCCCAAGCUUUGAGGUCCUCGUUGGCGACGGUGGUGACAUGAUUCUUCAAGCAUUCUAAGGACCUGGGCGAGGACAUCGCCUGUGAUCUUGGGGAUGGGGAUGCCAAUCUCGAUCAUUUGGUGGACCAUCAACUGCUUCGCCACCACCUCAUCUACUGUGAGCACCUUCACGUCUGAGCUCUUAAUGGUCUUCUUCUCUGAUACUCACCCUCUUGUUUUCUCUCUUAAAUGGUGAUGGUGAGAGAGUGAGGAUUUGGAUAGAUUUUCUUUUAGAUAUUUUUUUAAAAAAAUUUAUUUUCUAAUCUACCCCCGAACCCAAUUUAUUUCUGAAAUUACCUAAUUGUGGUGACUUGUCAAUGACGUGAUGAAAUCGCAUAUUGAAAAAGCGAUUUCAGAUUUGAAAUCACAUGUUGAACAUGUGAUUUCAAGCUGAUCAGAUGGCGAAAUCACAUAUUGAACAUGCGAUUUCAAGUCCAAAAUCACUUUUUCAACGUGCGAUUUCGCCACGUCCACCAUAACUAGGGUAGUUUCAAAAAUAAGUAGGGUUCAAAGGCAGAUAGAGAAAUAAGUUUUUAAAAAAUAUAUUUUAAAAAUAAAGUCCCAUCUUGGAUAGCUAUUUAUAUAGAAAGGACUCUUGGGAUGUAGGGUUUUCUUUUAAUACUAUUUUCCACAGAUUGGGACAUCUUCUCUUGGAAUUUGAUUAUUUUAUUAUGUAAUAAUUAAAUAUUUUCCAUGAGAAAUAAAAUUGUCGACAUCUUCUUCAGUCCUUGGCGUGAGGAAAACAUGAAAACUGUGAAAGGAAAGCUUUUGAAUAUGUUGUCAUCACCGGUGAACAAAAUCACUUAUGCGCGGAAUGUAAAUGUUUACUGAUAUUGCCCAAAUGUAUUCCCUUGCGUGACCGAUCUUUUCUUCUUUUGGUUCACUUGAAUACAGAAGCUUAUUGUCUACAACAAAACUUUGGAGAAUCGGACUGAUGAUCUCCAGAAACCUGAUAUUGAUUUCCAUAUUACAUAUCAUUGGAUAUAAAAGCUUGAAUUGUA